UCUCAGGGGAUUACUGACAGCUGUCAGGUUGGUCAUUUGCAUCUGGUCUCAGGGAGCCGCCUGGGCUCUGCCUCUGCAACAGAUAGUUCACUCAUGCCCCAGCAUCAGACAUUUUCAAACUGCCAAUGAAUGAUGACCUAAAGGCUGGACCUCCAAGCACUCACUUUAUGUCCGAAGGCUGGGGUCCCUCUCUGAAGGCACCGGUCUGGCCGCCCUGCACUGUGGAUGUGACCAAGCUUAGCCAGACCACAGGAGGCAUGACUUCUCUUAGGGACCAGGGGUGCUGUUUCCAGAGGGCCCCACUGCAAAGGCUGUCCCAGAGGUCCG